rnacentral:rRNA from 1 species
AGAGUUUGAUCCUGGCUCAGAACGAACGCUGGCGGCGUGCAUAACACAUGCAAGUCGAACGUGAUUGAGGAGCUUGCUCCUCAUGAAAGUGGCGCACGGGUGAGUAACGCGUAGAUAAUCUACCUGAUGAUCUGGGAUAACACUUCGAAAGGGGUGCUAAUACCUGAUAAGCACACGGAGUCCUUGGAUUCUGCGAGAAAAGGGGGGGACCUUUACCGGCCUUCCGUCAUCAGAUGAGUCUGCGUACCAUUAGCUAGUUGGUAGGGUAAAGGCCUACCAAGGCGACGAUGGUUAGCUGGUCUGAGAGGAUGAUCAGCCACACUGGAACUGAGACACGGUCCAGACUCCUACGGGUGGCAGCAGUAGGGAAUAUUGGUAAUGGGCGCAAGCCUGAACCAGCAACGCCGCGUGUGCGAUGAAGGCCUUCGGGUUGUAAAGCACUUUUUGCCGGGAAGAGCAAGGACGGUACCGGUAGAAUAAGCCUCGGCUAACUACGUGCCAGCAGCCGCGGUAAAACGUAGGAGGCGAGCGUUAUCCGGAUUUACUGGGUGUAAAGCGCGUGCAGGCGGACGGGUAAGUUGGGUGUGAAAGCUCCCGGCUCAACUGGGAGAGGUCGCUCAAGACUGCCGGUCUGGAGCGUGGCAGGGGAAGGCGGAAUUCCGGGUGUAGUGGUGAAAUGCGUAGAUAUCCGGAGGAACACCAGUGGCGAAAGCGGCCUUCUAGACCACGACUGACGCUCAGACGCGAAAGCUAGGGGAGCAAACGGGAUUAGAUACCCUGGUAGUCC